CACACACAAAAAAAUAUUAAUUUUUUUUUUAAUUAAAUGUUUUUUUGAUCCUGACAAAAAAUGACCAGUUAACAUUAAUUGACUAAUCAUAUCAGCAGCACACAUGAAAGUGUGAAUGAGAAGUCAGGUAGAAUCACUAUCAUACUACUUAGAUUGUAAGAGCAGACUGAUAAAAGGAGGGGUGAAGUGCUUCAAAUCAUUGUGUUCUUGUUAAUAAUGGUUACCUCCAAAGAAACACGUGCAGCCAUCAUCGCUUUGCAUCAAAAUGGCCUCACAAGCAAGGAAAAUUGGCACAAGAAUAUUGCACCUGAAAGAACCAUUCACUGGAUCAUAAAGAUCCUGUAGGACAUAAUCGUGUCUCCAGCAAUGCAGAGCUUGCUCAGGAAUGGCAGCAGGUUGGUGUGAGAGCAUCUGCAAGCAGUGAGGCCAAGACUUUUGGACAACGAAAAACUUCAAGAACAGACUGAAAUUCUGAAGAAAGUAUAAGGAUUGGACAGCAGAAGACUGGUGAAAAGUUAUUUUCUCUGAUGAAGCUCCCUUCCGACUGUUUGGGACAUCUGGAAAUUCGUUUGGAGAAGAAAAGGUGAACGCUACCAUGAGUCCUGUGUUGUGCCAACAGUGCAGCAUCCUGAAACAAUCCAUGUGUGGGGUUGCUUUUAAACCAAGGGUGUGGGCUCUCUCAUAAUUCUGCCCAAAAACACUGGCAUGAAUAAAGAAUGGUAUCAAAACGUCCUACAAGAGCGACUUCUUCCAACAUUCCAUGAGCAAAUUUGGUGAUGAUCUGUGCAUUUUUCAGCAUGAUGGAGCACCAUGUCACAAAGCAAGAGUGAUGAAAAGGCGAGUGGACAGGCAGAAGCCCACAGAUUGUGAUCAACUCUGAGAACUAAUAAGGCAAGAAUGGAUCGCCAUUAAUCAGGAUUUGGCCCAGAAGCUAAAAUCCAGCAUGCCAGAGCGAAUUGCAGAGGUUAUGAAGAACAAGGGUCAACGCUGUAAAUUUAUUGCCAAUAAAAGCCUUUAAAACUUAUAUGCUUAUCAUUGCUUUUCAGUAUACAACAGAAACGUGGAAAAAUAAUCUACAAAUACUGAAGCAGCAAACUUUGCAAAACACAAAAUUUAUGUCACUGCCAAAACAUUUGGCCAUGACUGCAUAACACACACACACACAUACACACACACAGUGGGUAUAGGAAAGAAUCACCCCCCUUUAAAUAAUCACAUAUUGUUGCUUUGCAGCCUGAAACGGACACAGUUUUUGUUUUAUCCAGCUGUAUUUACUCAGUGCAACUCAAUAACAUCAAAGUAAAAGAUAUAACACCAACAUGUCAGAAAGAAAAGAA
ensembl:lncRNA